UUUCCUGUGUGAAUCAAAUGAAAAAACUGUUAAUGACCAGUCACAAGCAAGGUGCUUAUUUAUCUUAAGCCAUGCCACUGGGGCAGCACUACCUGAUGUUUUUAUUUCUCUUAUGUUUCUCUUCCUUCAUAUUUCACACAGAGAUGUAGAGAUAAUAACUCAUUGCUUGAGUCUCAUGAUUUCCAUUCAGUAUUUGGAUACAGAUGAUGGUAAAAUCACCCCUGAGUGAAUUGCAGACAUGCAGAUCUUGACCAAAUACCAGGCUGGCAGCAGUCUUUUGCAAACUACAGUUCUGGAUAACGCAUUGUCUCAGGAUUGCUUCUGAAAUCCCCAGACCUUUUGGCAUUGGAGAAGAGCUUGAUUCUUGUUAUUAUAGGGUAGUCAGCCUUUGAGUCCAGGCAAGAAGAUUAUGGCAGUGGCAGACUGAUGAAGUCCACAGUACCGAUCUUCUCAGCAGGGCCUCACCUACCACAAAGCUCCACAAGGGCAACAGUUGCAGAGGCGAGCAAAAUCAACGUGUGACCAGCGUGCUCACUGCUGUAGCUGACUCACCUGUGUGCGAGCACGCUUCUCGUUUGAUCACUUGCAAAACAAACCAGAAAAUCUCAUUCAGAAGUUUCUACAAACCUGCAGCUUCUGGUUAAUCUGCAGAACAUCUCUUAGAUUUAAAACUCUUUUUUCAAAGAUCUUAUGUGCCUAAAUAAAAUGUUGCAACGUUGCAGUGUUUCAAACGCUGGCCUCACUUUGAGGGAUCUGCUGAACUGAUUUUACUCACUGUAAAUGUUCACUCUGUUGGAUGUACUUAUGAAUUCUUUGCUUACAGACAGUGCCUCCCAGCUCCUACUGUUAUAUUCCAUAUAUUUUACCUUUGUUCCAAGGAAAUUACCUUUCAACUUUAGAAAAAUGAAGUAAAAUACAUUUUAAAUCUCUCAGAUAUUUUUCAAAACCGGAACUAACCUAGUAGCUUUUUGGUGCCAUUUUAGUUUCAGGUUCUUCUCCAAUUAAGAGAAGGGGAAAUCUUUCUAGGAACUUGGAAAACAGAGAAACCCAGUUCAGAACAUCUAGAAACUAAAUGUGAAGAAAAGGAGUUGAGCUGUUUGAAAGAAGAAGCUUCAGGCUAGAACUUGUGGCAUGCUUUGUAUACUACAGGUAUUCUUGGAUUUCUAAAAUGUAUCUAAACUUAUCAUAGAGUCAUAGAAUCAACUAGGUUGGAAAAGUCCUUCAAGGUCAUCAAGGCCAACCAUCAAUCUGACCUACUGAGUCCCAGAAGUAAAUCAUGUCCCAUAGUGCCAAAUAUCCCACCAUCCUUCUAAUUCUGUGACUGAUGGCCUUAACAUAACGAAAUCAAAAUCAGAGCUGCAAUUUUAUUCCUUACAUAUACAUGAACAAGAUGGAGCACGCUGGUGCUAAGCCAGUUCCACUUCAUGAAAAUGUUUCAGCACAGUUUAUUAUGUCUAAUACUGCCCACAUUUCUCAACAGUUGAAAAAAGAAGGAAAAAAAGAAUGAGGUACUGUCAUCCUUAUCUUUGGGCACCAAAAACUGUGUGGAUGAUUGACAGCCUGCAUGACAAUUCUGUGGUGUGACAUAUGCAGUUGACCAAAACUGAGUAAAUUCCAGAUUCUUAAUGAUCAAUUUGUAAUUCAGCUUCCUGAUUAAUUUCCUGCAUGGUAUGGAGGAAUAAUAUUCAAAUACCAUUCAAAAGGUAGAAUUUUUCCAAAAACAAUGUUGCUUGCUGAAAGGCUUUCUGCUCAUCUCUGGAAAACCUGAGCACAUACACCUUCCAAAGGUGUUCUGGAAACUGAAAUGUUGCAUGAUCAUAUCCUAAAUAAUGUACACAGGCAACUCACAAGUAUGCAGUAAAAGAAAAAUAAAAAGCCUCUUUUAUCUGUCAUAGGUACUAUGAACAAUUAGCAGGUAUAUAUAUUUCUACACAGGCUGCUUGGAAGAUGACUCAAAACAAAGCAAAACCCCCGAAUAACAUAUCUAGGAGAACAUUCUAUCUAGGAUUACCAAUUGCAAAAUGCCAGAAGAAUUAUAAUUCACAACUAAACUCCCUUAGGGUGCUCAUUCACGAGGUUCCCAAACAGGUGGCAGGGAAGGAAGGAGGUAAAUAACUUUCCACAGUACCUUGGCUCAUCAUCAAAUGGCACUCCACACUGCAUCUGACUUCAACUUGUGCUCAAGAGCAAGUCUAAUCCCCUUGGUAAUGCUAGGAGCCCACCAUGCUCGGGGCUAGAUUGGAGCAUGAAACAGGAUGCCCUGUGCUCAGGCCCAAAGAUCUGCAUGUGUCAGCAGUGGGUCACACUGGACUUUUCUAUGGGGCUAUUCAAACCCUCACAGCUAUCGUCCUGCAAACAGAGGUCAUGCAGGCCUGAUCCACCUCUGCUGACAAGUGGAAAACACACUCUGAUCCUGUCACUGUUCCUAGAUAAGAGUAGGAAAAUAGAGCAGAUCUUGAGAUGGAGGUGACACAGCAAGCUUUACUUUUUAAUACAACUCCACACCUUCUUGCAGAACCGGAACCAACCAUCAGUACAAUAUUUGCACAAUGAAUGCUUCUAAGAAAAUGAUGAACAUCAACAUAGAUAGUUUACAAGACCUCUUUUGUAUUCUAAUUCACAGAACUAUUUCCUACAUACUUACUCUUAUGCAGUUCUAGAUUAUUCAAAAAUACAGCUUAAUUUAUUGUGGUUCCUUUAAAAGGUUAAAUAUUAAAACGUAUUAUAGCUUUCCUCCACAUUUUGAGUGCUGACAGCAUAGAGUUCAUUGCAAUGAAGGAAAAAAUUACUGCAAUAAAAAGGAAUUAGGCUACUUGAUCACUGCUGCGAUUGCUCCAGAUACAGUUCAGGAACAAUCCAGUGUUUGCUGUGCUUCACCUGAGGAAGUCUGCAAAGAGACUGGAAGUGAACACUAACUGAAUUAGUUACUUCUUGUACUUUAGGUGCUAUUUCAAGAUAUUGGGCAUUUCCUACAUGGUACAUUCAGUAAGCGUCCAAGGGAAAGUACAAGCACUGUGCAGCAUUAUAACUGUUUGCUAUGCCUGUGCAGCAUUGUAACUGUUUGUAUGCCUGUGGUGUUCGGUAGAAAUUGAGAGCUAGAUCUAACAAAAAUGAUCAUAACAAAACUGAAAAUGAGCCUCCAGCUCAAGAAUGAGUAACGAAAAGGAACACCUCUGUUGUAUCACGUCUGUUAAAAGCUCUUUCACUGUAUGUGUAGGAAUUAACAUUAGCAGACAAGAGUUCCUAGAACCCAUUACUUCUGAAACUAUAUGUUCAUCACUUUGGAGGACAUAUGUUGGUAUUUAGCUUGGGAAAAGCAGAACCCCAAACAAAUUAAAAUGAAAUUGCACUGAACUUCAGAGUGAGGAUAGUAAAAGGAAAGAUCAUCACUCACUUAUAGGAUUAAAAAAUGCCUUCAGUGAUUUGCUUAGAGAUAGAAAGGAAACCUGUGGCUGAAGCAGGAGCUCAGUUUGGUUUCAGCUCAGAGCGUAAAUUCGGAUGAUUGUUCGGCUGUUACUCAGUAAGUAACUUACUUGUAGUACACAAUGUAAGGAUAAAAGAGAUAAGCAGUAUUUGUUUUUGAAAGGUUUCUAAUAUUCUGUGGCUGGAAAACCUAUAACAGAACUGUAUUUUAGAAUUUAAAAGUGUAAAAAGUUAUGUUGAAAAGAGGAAAUAUCACCCAAAGCAUCAUCUGAAUGUGAACAUAUUAAUUUCAAGGCAGGAACAGCUGGUGUAGAAGCAAAUACAGUUACUUCUUAAACAUAUGAUGUUAGCAGUAAUUUUUCUAAGCAGUUCAUUCAAGUCUACUGUUUCCGAAAGGCCCAAAAAUAUAAAAUGGACAACUCUGGAAAAGAUACACAGCUUUGAGAUGGAAAAAAUAUAAACUAUGUGAAACUGUUCUUUGUCAAGUACUAACUGCAAAACUUCCUAUGAACUAAAUAUAAAGAAACUGUUGAUAAUCAAAACUGGGUACAAAACACCUCCUGAAAAAAAUGGAAGAAUAACAAAACAACAAGACUGAAACAAAGACAAUUUUCCACUCCUUUGGAGCUCCAUAGCUGAGGUUCAGCUGAAGUUGAAUCUCAAAAAUGAGUAUUUAUUCUUUGAAGGACAAGAUUAUUUAUGUUGAGAAAUGUGACUGUACUGAGAUAGAGCUCAUGAAGUUAAAACAGUUUAAGUAACACUGCGCUUCCUUAUUUUUGUGUCCUGUAGCCUAAAUUAACACCAUACGAAUGAAAAACAAACAAGACAACAUUCCUAUGUAUCUUUUGAAUCUAAAUACUAGUUGUACGGUAACUGUUGAGUCAGGGCUUGAACCACUGAUUGAUCACCUGUGGAAAGGACAGAGUCAGCCCUGGGAGCACAGGUGAAGGCAAUUCAGCUGCAUGACCAGAGGGGUGAAGCCUGGCUGCACUUCUCUUCGACCUCAUUUAAGGGCUGACUGCUGCUAGGAUGGGAUCUCUGGUUGGAGAACCUUCUCUUGUAGAGUUUUUUUCUGUAAGCCUGGAUCUUCAGAGAUGGGUUGCCGUAGUGCAUCUUGCUGUGUCUGCCUUCUGAAACGUAGUCUUUUUGGUCAACUGCGGGUCUCAUAAAGUUCGUCUUCUGCAAAUUUUGUAGUAAACAAAAGUAAAGCCUUUCUGCCAUCUAGUGGCUACAAAUACCAACAACCGCCUAACGAUCCCAAACACUUUUCUGCCGUUAUUGAAGUUGUAGCACUCUUUCCAAGAAAAGGAAAUGCACAGAAGAGAAUUCCCCCAAACUGUGGUGCACACAGAAGAGUCUGCCCUGUCUGUGGCUUGCUCUGAGCUCUGCUUCCUGCUUGGUGAGCCACAGUCAUGGUCUUAUUAGAGAAAUUUGAAGAUUCUCACCUAUCUCUGUUUACUGCGAUGGCUAUCUACGUUUCUGUCCAGAGACAGGUAUCUGUGAAGGUACUGGAAGUAGUUGCUCUGUCUGCGUAGCUCUGAUUUUAGUUUCUUGCUGUUCUGUUUUCUUUCUCAUUACAAUUCACAUGCUUGUUUAACAGUAGAAAAUACUUGUUUUCUCAUUGAGCUUAUUUUUUUUUAAGCUUAUAUUUAAAUACAUUUUGAUUUUUUUUUUUAUAUAUAAGUGAAACUGUAUGCUGACUUCCAUAGAAUCAUAAAAUGGCCUGGGUUGAAAAGGACCAGAAUGAUCAUCUGGUUUCAACCCCCCUGCUAUGUGCAGGGUGUCCAACCACCAAAACAGGCUGCCCAGAGCCACUCUCCAUGAAAGUACUGCACCGGUGGUAGAAACUGGAUCAGCAAAACAAAAAAAAAGUGUAGUCAAUCUAAAGCUUUCUAGACACUUUUUUUUUAAUUAAACGAAUAUUAAGUUUACAUUGCCAAAAAGGAGCCUUGGCCAUCAAAUCACAGCUGGUCAGGAUCCAAUUAAAAGCAAACUGAGCCCAGUAUCUGUUAUUGACCAGUAAUGAGUUUUAAGAGAACAAACUAAAGAAAUUUGGUCCAGAAUAUAUUCUUGCAGAAAUCUGAUUUAGGGGCAUCUCAUAUCAAAGAUUUUAACAUUAAUAUUUCCACACAUGCAUACGCUGCUAUUUCAGAUGAGUUCAGAAGAAUCUAGAUGAGUAUCUUGUGGCUUAAAUUUUAUGACUCUGCUCUGUACCAUGGAAAAAAUAUAUCUUAGUGAUUGUUUUAAUCUUACUCUAUAAACUUCAUUGGAUGUCUCUUAUUUUUUUGUGAGGCCAAUGAGCAAUCAAUCAUUCUCUAUUCACUUUCUCCUUUGUGACUGCUGCUCUUUUUGGUCAUUAAACCAUCUUCCUUUAUCCUCUCACAUUCCUUUUCUGUGUUCCUGCAGGCCAGAGAGUAUCUAUAAGACAAUGACCUUAUCAGAGCACUUGGAUUUUUAAGACCCUCUCUGUAGAACAACUCAUUCCUCUUCAGGCCAACAUCGCUUUUGCCAAGCAGCACUGAUAGAUAAUUCCAGACUCAAUUUUUUACUACAAAAUCUAUACUGAAUCAUCUCAGACUUCUCAUAUUUUUUCUUCAGCAUUUAUUUUAUCUGAGUUCCUUUCUACUUCUAGCAAAAGAUGUUUCAAAUUUGUAUCUUCAAGGAUUUCCCAAAAGAUGAAUGUCUCAAGCUGAUGAAUAGCCAAAUUACUUGGAAAAUUUCUUAUGAAAAAGAAAAGUGAUAGAAGUGCUGAUUCUUGCUUUUCCUUUGGGAAUGAUUAACUUUGAGUUGCAUAAUUGAGUAACAAUAUUAGCAUAUCGCUUCUUCUAAAGAAGAUGUCAUACUUUAAAACACGCAUUUUAGAAAUUUUAAAAGAAAACUUGGGAAAAUACUUGAAGUUUUAGGAACAAACAUUAAAUUGUCUAUUUGGUAUAAUGUGCAUUUGUGGAAAUUAAUGUGUAUACAUCUUAAAAUGCAUUUGAGAAAUGAGAAAAUGAGAGAAAACUUCAGUGAUUUGCUUAACAGCACAUCAAAAGUCAUCUAAGAAGAAAGCAACUUCACUUCUCUCGCAUCUCUCUCAGAUUUGUUACACCCAUCAUGUUCAUAUAAUGUGCUACAAAAAUAAAAUGACAUUCCUUACGUACUUUGAAUUAUAUUGUUCACUUGAAUGUGGAUAUGUCCAAGAACAAUAAAAAAAAUUAAGCCUCUGUAAAUACAAGUAUUUGUAAUAAAUACAAUAUGUUUACCACAUUAAUUAGUAUUUCCUGAUAUUCAACAGCAUUUGUUAAUUUUGCACAUUGGUUUUUUUUUUUUUUUUUUUUUUUAGCUUUUGCAUUUUUGGUUACAUUUAUGUGCUCCUUGUCUGUAAAACAGUAGAUAAUUCUUGCUGCCUGUACAUUUAAUGAAAGUAAAAUUAUGCUUCGGUGAGUCUACUGGGCUAAAAUGAAAGGCUUUUAAUUUAUUCUGUAAUAGGUUACAUCUCUAGACUCAGUGAGGCUUCUUUGUGCUACAGUCUAGAUGGCACAUCCAGGCUUUAAACUAACUUAAAUAGUCAGCAGGGGGUUCCAAUGAUGUAGGAGAUUAGCAGAGCUGAAUGCAGCAAAAUAGAUUAUUAAUGGCAUAUUUAAUUCCCAGCUCCACAAAAGGGCAGUGUUUAAGAUGAGGGGCUACAUCUGAUGCGAAAUGAACUUAGUGGUCUCUCGACUACCAAGUAAGCUGAUGGGAGAUAUUACAG